rfam:Clostridium sp. ASF356 genomic scaffold acMac-supercont1.3, whole genome shotgun sequence.
GGCGCUGUAGCCAAGCGGUAAGGCAAAGGUCUGCAACACCUCUAUGCAUCGGUUCAAAUCCGAUCAGCGCCU